CUCAACACACGUGCUUCAGUCACGCACGCUCAUCUGAACCGAGCAGCCGUGUCCGAGGGAACAACGGGCCAGGCGACUUUAACUUCUGGGGGGAAACAGAGCUCGAUUGUCUGUAACAGAACCCAAUUGCCCCUCGGGGAUGAAUAAAGUGUUCUGAUUCUGAUACCUGCCGUCAGCGGAGACUGAAGAGGUCACUUAGAUGCUGAAACGUGUUGCAGAGGAGAAAGAUUUCGGGAAAAGUUCUUAUUCCCGAAGAGAAUUUUCGCCCGGAAUGCCAAGGGUGUAAUUCCACUGGGCGGACCGGUUCUCAUCGCCGAAAACGGCAAAAAUAAUUACGUUGAUGGUGCCGUGUUUUAAUCUUCCCUCUGUCAGCGAUGCUCUAAACAGGGCUUCUGAAGAAAGAGCAGUCGUCUGGUAUCACACUUCCAAGCCCUUACUGCAUACGAGUACACAUUUUUCUGUGUUAAAUGUGGGCAUAAUCCACCUGCGGCAGUGAUGGACCUCCACAAAACGGGGCGUUUUCAACAUGCCAGUGAGUGACAUGUGACCCCUCUGCCCUGAGGGAUACACGGGCCAAGUCAAUGUACAAGAUGACCACGCAUGCCUUUGCCCCCGAGGAAGAAUUAAAUUGUGCCUUUUCAAUUUUUUGUAGUGAGUAGUUGCAUUCUUUAUCCAGCGUUUUACUACCUGGAGAUCAGAUGUUCUUAACACUGAA